rnacentral:lncRNA from 1 species
AUUUACCUAAGUCAGUUGAACCCUAACAGGGCCAUGCACGUGAUUAAUCAGCUCUCAGCAUGAGUUAUCCACAUACCCAAAUCCCAGCUUCCAAUAAAGCUGCUAGCAAGGAAUGGGUCACUCAGGCUAACUCCAUCUUCUGCAUCAGCACUUCCUCAGCCUUCCCUGACAUUGUUACAUGUUGCCCUCAACCCUGGAGUGUGGGCUUCACAAGGCGCUGGCCGACCUGAAAUACUCGUCAUACACCUGGGAAGCUGCAAGCAAGCCUUUGAACUCCAGUUUCUUCAUCAGUAGAAGAGGCUGAGUGGCACUGAGUUUGGAGGAUCCUAGGUUUGAAAAACAAUGGUGGCAAGCAUAUAAUAGGGGCUCACAAAGGAAACUGUUCUAUUUGGGGGGUCUAAGAGCUAACAGUCUCAGAAGUGAUGAAAAAUGGCAGGAGGAGGUGAAGGCAGCUGAGUUCUGCAAUAAACCACAGGAAAAGAAGGUAAGGAUGUGGGGCCGACUCUCCCUUCAGAACACAGUCUACACCUUGAAAUGUACAUGAUGCAGAGAACACUGCCAUUCUUAUGCAUUUAUCAUCACAAACCAGAAAAUCAAAUAAAAGUAAUCAUACCAUUAAAAAUAUAAAAUAACAUAGUAUCGGGAGAUGUUAUUUUUCUAAUUUUUAAACAUAUUUUAUUGCACAUACAAAUGAUCUGUUUAACAAACACCAAAGCUUAUAGGGAAACCUGCUUGUUAAAGUCAGAGACAGAAGAAAAGGAAGAACGCCUUCGGGACACAGUCUUACUACAAAUCCUCAACAGGUUUCAGUCCCCAAAGUUCUACUGGUAGAACUCAAUAUUCUUCAAAAGUCACACCCAGAACAGAACUGGCAUGCUCUAAUGAAAUGAGAUGUUAACUCCUCCUCCCCAGCGCCUUCUUCUAGAGAACUCCCAGAGGCCUUCCUGACCCUCAGCGCUACAGCAGAUUGGGCGCAGAGUGGCUGUUCAGAGCUCCAGGCUCAACCUCCCACAGCGAUCCUGUUCCCCGCAGCCCGCAGAGCCUCCCACACCUGAAGCGCACGUGGGCUGCCUGCUGGGUCAGCACUUGCUGCGUAUGCCGGGCAGCCUGAGCACCAAGGAGGGGAACGCAGAGCCUCAGGCCGGCAGCGAAGCACACAGCUCUCCACGAUAGCCUGUUCUGAAUCCAGUCUGCGGUCUUCCUCCUAGUGCUUUUUCCUCCUGCUUCCCUGUCCCUGGAAUAAGCUACCU